CCGCGAAAACUUUACAAUGCGGGAAACCGUGAUAAGGGAAUCUCGAGUGCCAGCAUAUAAUGUUGGCUGUCCAGAUGCCUAAAAAGCAUCUGUUAGCAAGGGCCGGGCAAGACCGGUGCUAGCCGCCGCGGUAACACCGGCGGCCCGAGUGGUAACCGCUUUUAUUGGGUCUAAAGGGUCUGUAGCCGGCCAAGUAAGUCCCUUGGGAAAUCUGGCAGCUUAACUGUCAGGCUGCUAGGGGAUACUGCUAGGCUUGGGACCGGGAGAGGUGAGAGGUACCUUGGGGGUAGGGGUGAAAUCUUGUGAUCCUCGGGGGACCACCAGUGGCGAAGGCGGCUCACCAGAACGGGUCCGACGGUAAGGGACGAAAGCUAGGGGCACGAACCG
rnacentral:rRNA from 1 species